AGCGAACGCUGGCGGCAGGCUUAACACAUGCAAGUCGAGCGGGCAUCCUUGUGGUGUCAGCGGCAGACGGGUGAGUAACGCGUGGGAACGUGCCCUUCGGUUCGGAAUAACUCAGGGAACCUUGAGCUAAUACCGGAUACGUGCGAGAGCAGAAAGGUUUAUCUGCCGAAGGAUCGGCCCGCGUCUGAUUAGCUAGUUGGUGAGGUUACGGCUCACCAAGGCGACGAUCAGUAGCUGGUCUGAGAGGAUGAUCAGCCACACUGGGACUGAGACACGGCCCAGACUCCUACGGGAGGCAGCAGUGGGGAAUAUUGGACAAUGGGGGCAACCCUGAUCCAGCCAUGCCGCGUGAGUGAUGACGGCCUUAGGGUUGUAAAGCUCUUUUCUCCGGGACGAUAAUGACGGUACCGGAGGAAUAAGCCCCGGCUAACUUCGUG
rnacentral:rRNA from 1 species